rnacentral:lncRNA from 1 species
UAACAAGAGACAUGAUAUGCACGUAGAAUUUAUUCAGAAUUAGACGGUCACAGUCGCGAAAGGAAAUUUUUUAAAAUGUGAGAAACUAUACAUCCAUUAACCAAAUGAAUCCCUUCAAAAAAACCAUUCCAAGAUUUAAUACACAUCCUUUGUUGAUGUGUUUCAUUUCCUUCCUUUUUUUCUCCAUUUAACAAAUAAAUACAAAAAAAGGAGAAAAACUAAGGCCGAGGGUGCUACAUCCUCGUCGAAUCAGACAGAAGCAAUGACUUCAAAUCCUCAGGUGGGGAAUUCCAAAUCUUCAUCUUAUUGUCAUUAGUUGAACCCAAUUUUGCUAGAAAAUCUGCACUCGCGUUCCCUUCUCUAAGAGUGUGAGAUAAAUUCACCUCCCAAUCCAAAAUCAUCAACACUUUAAUGUCUGUUAUCACUGAAGCAUAAGAAUGAAACUUAUCGAUAGGCUUAGAAAUGAGAUCUAUAACAGUUUUGGAAUCUGAAUAACAACAGAUAUAGGUGCAACCAUUGUUUUUAGUGAGAUUCAAGCCAUGAUAAACAGCCAUGAGUUCUGCAUAGGUGCUAUUGGCUAUUCCGAGGAAGCAACUGAAUCCAAUCACCCAACUACCAUCACCUCUUCUAAUUAGGCCUCCCGCUCCAGCACGGCCCGAAUCACCAAGGCAGCUCCCAUCCACAUUCAGGACAAAACAAUUCUCUUUAGAAGGGUGCCAAGAAAUGGACCUUGUAGCAUUCUGAGAAUAAUUGAAUUAUCAUAUAACAGAUUGCAAAUAUAAUGAGAAAAUAUAAAAAGAAAAAAAGAAACUAAUUCGAAUUUUGUGAUAAUAUGAAAAUUAAAUUGAAUAUUACCGGCAGGACAAGCGGUGUUGGUUGAGUGAGAGGAUGGUGGUUGAAUUGAGGACCUUUACCACGAACGAGAAUUAAC